GCAUGUCUAAGUUCCAACCCUCGUACGGUGAAACCGCGAAUGGCUCAUUAAAUCAGUCGAGGUUCCUUAGAUGAUCCUUUUCCUACUUGGAUAACUGUGGUAAUUCUAGAGCUAAUACAUGCGGACAAGCUCCGACCCUCCGGGAAAGAGCGCUUUUAUUAGUUCAAAACCAGUCGGGGCCUCGCGGUCCCGUCCUUUGGUGACUCUGGAUAACUUUGUGCCGAUCGCAUGGCCUCGAGCCGGCGACGCAUCUUUCAAAUGUCUGCCCUAUCAAAUGACGAUGGUACGUGACAGGCCUACCAUGUUGACUACGGGUAGCGGGGAAUCAGGGUUCGAUUCCGGAGAGGGAGCAUGAGAA
rnacentral:rRNA from 1 species